rnacentral:rRNA from 1 species
AGAGUUUGAUCAUGGCUCAGAACGAACGCUGGCGGCAGGCCUAACACAUGCAAGUCGAACGCGCGUAGCAAUACGCGAGUGGCGCACGGGUGAGUAACACGUGGGAACCAACCCUGAGGUUCGGAAUAACCGCGGGAAACUGCGGCUAAUACCGGAUAUCCCCUACGGGGGAAAGAUUUAUCGCCUUGGGACGGGCCCGCGUCCGAUUAGCUAGUUGGUGAGGUAAUGGCUCACCAAGGCUCCGAUCGGUAGCUGGUCUGAGAGGACGACCAGCCACACUGGAACUGAGACACGGUCCAGACUCCUACGGGAGGCAGCAGUGGGGAAUAUUGGGCAAUGGAGGCAACUCUGACCCAGCCAUGCCGCGUGGGUGACGAAGGUCUUCGGAUUGUAAAGCCCUUUCGGCGGGGACGAUGAUGACGG